AUCCUUACCUGGCAGGACAGAUACCAGGACUGUGAAGACGGGUUUCCCAGGGCGAGGCUAUCGACCGAACUCCAGAUGAGCUGACUCUUGGGAUUUCCUCAAAUUUGGGAAACUCUACUGCAUAACUGGUAGGAGUGGAGGUAUGUUCAUGCUCUCCCU